rnacentral:rRNA from 1 species
AUCCUGGCUCAGGAUGAACGCUGGCGGCGUGCCUAACACAUGCAAGUCGAACGGAGUUAAGGGAUAUUUCGAAUGGAACUUAACUUAGUGGCGGACGGGUGAGUAACGCGUGGAUAACCUGCCUCGCACAGGGGGAUAGCAGCUGGAAACGGCUGAUAAUACCGCAUAAGACUACAGCACCGCCUGGUGCAGGAGUAAAAGAUUUAUCGGUGCGAGACGGAUCCGCGUCUGAUUAGCCAGUUGGCGGGUAACGGCCCACCAAAGCGACGAUCAGUAGCCGGCCUGAGAGGGUGAACGGCCACAUUGGGACUGAGACACGGCCCAAACUCCUACGGGAGGCAGCAGUGGGGAAUAUUGCACAAUGGGCGCAAGCCUGAUGCAGCAACGCCGCGUGAGUGAAGAAGUAUUUCGGUAUGUAAAGCUCUAUCAGCAGGGAAGAAAGGCUCGAAAGAGAGAUGACGGUACCUGACUAAGAAGCCCCGGCUAACUACGUGCCAGCAGCUGC